UACAGAGGUCUCAAGCGUUGUUCGGAUUCAUUGGGCGUAAAGGGUGCGUAGGUGGCGCCGUAAGUCAGGUGUGAAAUUUCGGAGCUUAACUCCGAAACUGCAUUUGAUACUGCGGUGCUUGAGGACUGGAGAGGAGACUGGAAUUCACGGUGUAGCAGUGAAAUGCGUAGAUAUCGUAAGGAAGACCAGUGGCGAAGGCGGGUCUCUGGACAGUUCCUGACGCUGAGGCACGAAAGCGUGGGGAUCAAACAGG
rnacentral:rRNA from 1 species